UUUGAUAGCCCGCUACGUCCGCUAUCCGCCCGGGUACUACGAGCACUAGCUUAAAACCCAAAGGACUUGGCGGUGCUUUAGAUCCACCUAGAGGAGCCUGUUCUAGAACCGAUAACCCCCGUUAAACCUCACCCUCUCUUGUUUUUCCCGCCUAUAUACCGCCGUCGUCAGCCUACCCUGUGAAGGAAUUACAGUAAGCAAAACCAGUACAACUCAAAACGCCAGGUCGAGGUGUAGCAUAUGAGAGGGGAAGAAAUGGGCUACAUUCCCUGCUGCAGGGAAUACGAACAAUGUAAUGAAACGCAGCAUUAGAAGGAGGAUUUAGCAGUAAGCAGAAAAUAGAGCG
rnacentral:rRNA from 1 species